AUCGCAAAAACGAACUACACAAACGCGUUUGAGUGAGAGGUUGGUCAGCCACUUUGCUUUGAACAGUACUUUUAUCCGCGAAUUUCGUUUAACUAGUUAAACCGUUCCUUCGUAAUUAAUUUUGGGUGACUUAUAUUCGCUCCUCUUUCUCUCAAAUCCACUCUUCAUCUUGGUCAAAAUUAUUUCUGUAAAAAUGGAUUUGUGACAGCGCGAUAUCUUAGUGGUUGUUCAUUUUGGAGAAAGAAAAAGAAAUGUUGCUGCUCUUUAUAGUGUUUGUUCUGGGAGCUGUAACGGUCCUUGCAGUGGAAGCUGUGGGAGUGGUGCUUUUGAUUCGCUGGUUGAACCGUAGAGUGGCUCGUGAAGUGGAUAAAGCAAAACCGGACGGGGACUUCGAUUUCUCUUUGCACCAAAAGCAGGGGAUAGUCUGGGUUCUAGAAUCUGAAAGAUUACCAAAGGCUUUUCCUGUGGAUAAAGCCUUGAAGCAGCAAAAGGUCAAGAAAGAGAUCUUAGAGGUUACACCUACUCAGAAAUUUGCCCAAAUCAAGGACCAUUAUCUCGUCCUAACAGAGUCAGAUGGUUCCCAUGUAGAAAUUUUACUCAAAGGUUGCAUGAUAGCAGCUGUUUCUGCUUCAAGCUUAUCCUCUAGAAAAUGGGCAAAAAGAUAUCCUAUUAAAAUAGAGAGCAGAGCAUCAACUUUAUAUGAAGGAAGUAGAAUACUUUACUUUUAUCUUGAGACAUGCUGGGAGAAGGAAGCAUGGUGCAAAUCCCUUCGUCUUGCAUCCUGUGAGGACAAAGAAAAACUAAAGUGGUUUGCCAAGUUGAACAUAGAGUUUCAAAAUUACCUGAUGUCAUUAAAUGCAGGAUAUCCUUCAUUUAUGAAACCACAUUCAAGCAUUGGUGUUGAUUUAGGUGAUAAAUCAAGUAAGUUUGAUGGUUCCUCAUCAAAAGUUCGGCAAUUUUUGAAAAAGCUAGGCAAGAAAGCUUCUAAGAAUGCUCCGGAAAAUAAGGGAACCUUCAUUUCAACGUCAGACCAUGAAGAAAGGAAGAUAAGUGAGAGAGUUCAUUCCUUCCAAGACCUUGCUUUUGCUGGUGUUGGUGUUAAAUCGGCUCCAACACGCAAACCUCUUGAUUUUUCUACUAAGGAUGUUGUAGUGCCUUCAUCUAUAUCGGCAUCUACUGGAUCAGGAAGCCGGAGUCAAAUGUCUGUUAGUUCUGAUGCAGAUUCUGAUGACAGGGUUUUCGGUGAUGAAGGAACCCUUUGUUGGAAUUUGUUAAUAUCCCGUUUGUUUUUUGAUGCCAAAAGAAAUGACCAGAUGAGAACCUCUUUGCAAGCCAGGAUUCAGAGAACGCUGUCCAAUAUACGAAUUCCCAGUUACAUAGGUGAAGUGACCUGUACUGCCGUUAAUAUUGGUAACCUUCCUCCCUACAUACGUGCAAUGAGGGUUCUUCCCUCAGACAUGAAUGAGUUUUGGGCCUUCGAAAUUGAUCUUCAGUAUUCUGGUGGUGCAAUCUUGGAUGUCGAGACAAGGGUUGCAGUUCAGGACCUUGAUUUUCCUGAAGGGGACGAACCAGAAGAAGAUUCCGCUGCCAGUCAUGAUGUCAAAUCAGAUUUACUAGAAGGAUUUGAGCAGUUUGGAAAAGGAAAACAGUCUGAAGAGAAUGUUGAGAAGAUUGACCAAACCAACGAAGGUGAAUUUUCAGAUGGGAUGAGAAGCUCGAAUAUCAUGCCAAGUGAGUCACCUCAAGUGUCUAGGUGGAAGUCCAUCUUUAAUUCUGUUGCCAAACAGGUUUCACAGGUUUCACUCUCACUGGGGAUUAGGAUUGCAUCCAUUCAAGGAACUAUGAGGCUAUACAUAAAGCCACCACCUUCAGAUCAAAUAUGGUUCGGAUUCACGUCGAUGCCCGAUAUAGAUUUCCAUUUGGACUCUUUUGUUGGGGAGCAUAAGAUCUCAAGCGGGCAUCUUUCUUCGUUCCUAAUCAAUCGAUUUAAGGUUGCUAUUCGUGAAACACUGGUACUUCCAAACUGUGAAAGUGUAUGCAUCCCAUGCAUGUUGGCGGAAAAGGAUGACUGGGUCCCCCGACAAGUUGCUCCAUUUAUAUGGAUUAAUCGAGAAACUGCAGGUAAUAAUGCCAACAGACAAGAAGCACCCAGCUCCCAACCUGGGGAUGCAACACGAUUCACUGAAGUUGAUAGGGGAGGCACCAGUGGUAAUGCUGAAAGCAAAAGUGAAAAUCCAGGAAGAACAGGAUGGGCUAAUCAACAAAGCAAGUCAUUGGAUCCACAGGCAUUAUUAUCAGUUCCUACGCAUAGUCCAGAUACAGGAAGUACCACUAGCAAUGCCGAAGGCAAACAAGAAAAGCCAAGAAAAGUUGGAUGGUCUGCACUGCAAAGCAAGUCAUUGGAUCCACAUGCAUCCUUAUCAGUUCCUAUAGCGCAGCCUAACACAAGUAACCAGGCUUCAGAAGAACUGAAAGCCCCGUUAUUGAAGCAUGAGGAACAGCAAGUGGGUCACCUCAGGAGCACAGAGGAGAACAUAGAAUGCAAGUCACCUUCUCGACAACUGGUACUGCUUGCAGAAAAAUAUCAAAUUACUGGAGAAGAUGAUACAAAGUCUACAAGAAUAGGGAGAAGGGCUAGGAUGCUUGGUUUGGGAAAAAAAAUGGGGGAGAAACUUGAAGAGAGGGCACGUCACAUAGAAGAGAAGGGGAGAAAUUUAGUUGAAAGAAUGAGGGGACAACAGUGAAAAAAGGAAUAUUGUAAAUUUGCAGCUUCACCAAUUCAGUUUGUUUAACAAGUCACACAGGUGGGCAACCAUGUGAAGGAACAAAUUAAACUUAAGUCUUCAUGCUUUGCAUCGUCGUCGUCCGAUGGCUCAUCUUUAGUUGCCAUGAGGAAGAGCUUGAGUUGUGAAGCCCAACAGGUUCAGUUCAAGGACUAAACAAGCUUUGUUCGUUAGUCAUGGAGAAGUCGUAAGAAGAAAAAUAGCUCUACGUUGAUUGUAUAAACUCAAGCGUGUUAUAAAAUAAAGACUAUAAAGUAAAGACAAGUAUAGGAAGAAACUGAUAUAUUAUUCAAACUUCAAACU